UUUUCAUUCCCCAUCAUACAGUGCCUGUUUGCUACACUUGUUCCCAGGACAUCUUUGAACCAGAGGGCUGUUGCUGGACAUGGUGUUUCAGAUGAGAUCUCACCAACUUCAUUUGCUGAUCAUUUUAUCAUGUGAAUUAUGGCAGAAGAUGACAUGCUGAAAGGAUAUACAUCAACAAAUGUAUUCAGUAUGUUGAGAAAAAUCCAAUUAUAAACCUCCUUCCCUACCUUAAUGUAAUGUUUCUACAUGUGAGCUGCCUGUAGACGGUGGAGUUCUGAGGAUGGAUCCUGAAGCACACAUUAGAGCAUAGAAAAGAAAGCUGAGGCUUGAAAACAGCCAUAGGACUGCAGCAACCAGAAUGAAGUCCAGGGAAGAGGUACAAAGAUCACUUGAAACACAACAAUACAUAUUUACAUGAAUAAAAAUCUCAACCUGUGGUAUUUUCAUAACAUCUUCCAUUUGAAAGCAUAGAAGAUGAGAAGGAAAAAGCAGACAUGAUUUCCGACCAGUGCAGAGCAAAGAGCCCCACAGAAAAAUGCACAGGUGGACCAAAAGCCCUAAACUUGCA
ensembl:lncRNA